rnacentral:sRNA from 2 species
GAUCGGUUCAAGUCCUGAUAGGAUUCACUUAUUGUGAAGAUGCCUUGUAACCGAAUAGCUAUUGUCUAUAUAGGGGGACUAUAUUUUAUG